rnacentral:rRNA from 1 species
CUCGGACGAAUACCAUAGGGGGUAGAGCACUGUUUCGGCUAGGGGGUCAUCCCGACUUACCAAACCGAUGCAAACUCCGAAUACCUAUGAGUACUAUCCGGGAGACAGACUGCGGGUGCUAACGUCCGUAGUCAAGAGGAAAACAAUCCAGACCGCCAGCUAAGGCCCCAAAAUCAUAGUUAAGUGGGAAACGAUGUGGGAAGGCAUAGACAGCUAGGAGGUUGGCUUAGAAGCAGCCACCCUUUAAAGAAAGCGUAAUAGCUCACUAGUCGAGUCGGCCUGCGCGGAAGAUGUAACGGGGCUAAAACUAUGUGCCGAAGCUGCGGAUGUAUACUUUGUAUACGUGGUAGGGGAGCGUUCUGUAAGCCGAUGAAGGUGUGUUGAGAAGCAUGCUGGAGGUAUCAGAAGUGCGAAUGCUGACGUGAGUAACGACAAAACGGGUGAAAAACCCGUUCGCCGAAAGACCAAGGGUUCCAGUCCAACGUUAAUCGGGGCUGGGUGAGUCGACCCCUAAGGCGAGGCCGAAAGGCGUAGUCGAUGGGAAAAUGGUUAAUAUUCCAUUACUUCUGUGUAAUGCGAUGAGAGGACGGAGAAGGCUAAAUCAGCCUGGCGUUGGUUGUCCAGGUGAAAGGAUGUAGGCAUGUAUCUUAGGCAAAUCCGGGGUACUCUAUGCUGAGAUCUGAUAGCAAGCUGUACUUGUACAGCGAAGUGGUUGAUGCCAUGCUUCCAGGAAAAGUCUCUAAGCUUCAGUUACACAGGAAUCGUACCCGAAACCGACACAGGUGGUCAGGUCGAGUAGACCAAGGCGCUUGAGAGAACUCUGCUGAAGGAACUAGGCAAAAUGGUACCGUAACUUCGGGAGAAGGUACGCUGUUGUUGGUGAUGGAACUCGCUUCCUGAGCUGACGACAGCCGCAGAAACCAGGCCGCUGCAACUGUUUAUUAAAAACAUAGCACUCUGCAAACACGAAAGUGGACGUAUAGGGUGUGAUGCCUGCCCGGUGCUGGAAGGUUAAUUGAUGGGGUUAGCGUAAGCGAAGCUCUUGAUCGAAGCCCCAGUAAACGGCGGCCGUAACUAUAACGGUCCUAAGGUAGCGAAAUUCCUUGUCGGGUAAGUUCCGACCUGCACGAAUGGCAUAAUGAUGGCGGCGCUGUCUCCAGCAGAGGCUCAGUGAAAUCGAAAUCGCUGUGAAGAUGCAGUGUACCCGCGGCUAGACGGAAAGACCCCGUGAACCUUUACUGCAGCUUGACACUGAACUUUGACCUUACUUGUGUAGGAUAGGUGGGAGGCUUUGAAGCUGGAACGCUAGUUCCAGUGGAGCCGUCCUUGAAAUACCACCCUGGUAAUGUUGAGGUUCUAACUCUGUCCCGUGAUCCGGGACGAGGACCGUGUCUGGUGGGUAGUUUGACUGGGGCGGUCUCCUCCUAAAGAGUAACGGAGGAGUACGAAGGUGCGCUCAGCGUGGUCGGAAAUCACGCGUAGAGUAUAAAGGCAAAAGCGCGCUUAACUGCGAGACCCACAAGUCGAGCAGGUACGAAAGUAGGUCUUAGUGAUCCGGUGGUUCUGUAUGGAAGGGCCAUCGCUCAACGGAUAAAAGGUACUCUGGGGAUAACAGGCUGAUACCGCCCAAGAGUUCAUAUCGACGGCGGUGUUUGGCACCUCGAUGUCGGCUCAUCUCAUCCUGGGGCUGAAGCAGGUCCCAAGGGUAUGGCUGUUCGCCAUUUAAAGAGGUACGCGAGCUGGGUUUAGAACGUCGUGAGACAGUUCGGUCCCUAUCUACCGUGGGCGCUGGAAAUUUGAGAGGAUCUGCUCCUAGUACGAGAGGACCAGAGUGGACGAACCUCUGGUGUACCGGUUGUGACGCCAGUCGCAUCGCCGGGUAGCUAUGUUCGGAAGGGAUAACCGCUGAAAGCAUCUAAGCGGGAAGCCUACCUCAAGAUAAGAUUUCCCUAGGACUUUAUGUCCUCUAAAGAGCCGUUCGAGACUAGGACGUUGAUAGGUUGGAUGUGGAAGCAUAGUGAUAUGUGAAGCUGACCAAUACUAAUUGCUCGUGAGGCUUGACUAU